rnacentral:rRNA from 1 species
UACGUAGGGUGCGAGCGUUAAUCGGAAUUACUGGGCGUAAAGCGUGCGCAGGCGGUUCGUUAAGUUCGUUGUGAAAGCCCCGGGCUCAACCUGGGAACUGCAAUGGAAACUGGCGGGCUUGAGUGUGGCAGAGGGGGGUGGAAUUCCGCGUGUAGCAGUGAAAUGCGUAGAGAUGCGGAGGAACACCUAUGGCGAAGGCAGCACUCUGGGACGGUACUGGCGCUGAGACGCGAAAGCGUGGGGAGCGAACAGG